GACUUCGGGGCCAAGAUGGCGACGGGAACGGGCAAACACAAGCUGCUAAGCACUGGCCCCACAGAGCCAUGGUCCAUCCGAGAGAAGCUAUGUUUAGCAUCUUCUGUCAUGAGAAGUGGAGAUCAAAAUUGGGUAUCAGUUAGCAGAGCAAUCAAGCCCUUUGCAGAACCUGGCCGCCCUCCAGACUGGUUCUCUCAAAAACAUUGUGCUUCCCAGUACUCGGAGCUUUUAGAGACCACUGAGACACCAAAACGGAAACGAGGUGAAAAGGGAGAAGUGGUGGAAACUGUUGAAGAUGUUAUUGUUCGGAAACUGACUGCUGAGCGAGUUGAAGAACUAAAGAAAGUGAUAAAGGAAACCCAGGAGAGAUAUAGACGGCUAAAGAGAGAUGCAGAACUAAUUCAAGCUGGACACAUGGACAGCAGACUGGAUGAGCUUUGCAAUGACAUUGCAAUGAAAAAGAAAUUGGAAGAAGAGGAGGCUGAAGUAAAGAGGAAGGCUACAGAUGCUGCAUACCAGGAUUUGGACAUUGUUCUCUUUUAUGUU
rnacentral:sRNA from 1 species